rnacentral:SRP_RNA from 1 species
GCCGGGCGUGGUGGCGGGCGCCUGUAGUCCCAACUACUCUGGACGAUGAAGCAGAUUUGCUUGAACCUGGGAGGUAAAGGUUGCAGUGAGCCUAGAUCACACCACUGCACUCCAGCUUGGGUGACAGAGCGAGACUCCAUCUUGAAAAAUAAAAAAAAAGAUAAUAUAUGUAAAGUGUUUUUCUUUUAUUUUUCAAGAUGGAGUCUCGCUCUGUCACCCAAGCUGGAGUGCAGUGGUGUGAUCUAGGCUCACUGCAACCUUUACCUCCCAGGUUCAAGCAAAUCUGCUUCAU